ensembl:lncRNA
CAGAGACAAGAGGAGCGACGCACGGAAGGUGAGCAGGAGGAAAAGCAACGCAUGCAAGCCAGUAUAUGUGUCGAAGGACCUGCUGCCUGACUGUGGGGUGCCACGGGUCGUUCGGCGACGGACCGGCCAGCGGAACACGGCGAUCCAGUCUCAACGGGAGGAGCAGCGACAGACUGUGGUCAAGUGAGCCCUCACUUACGAAGUCACAGUCAAGCUAGCCGCACCGCCAGCCGCACCUAAAAUGUGGUUGCACUACUCUUAUGCAUAUUACGAUAAAGGAUGUUGAACAUUAAGCUCCAAACAGGAUGAAUGAGGAAGACCACAGAGGAGAAUCGUGGAUGUAGUGAAAGAAUACAUGCAGAUGGUUUUUUUUCAUGGAGGAGGAGCAACUUCUGAUACCAUCUUAAAGAAAAAACACAUAAAAUUGAAGAGUAAAAAUAAUGACAACAGACCUGCACUUUUUCAGUUUUUGGAAAGGCACGGACAAUUUCAAAAUCCCUGCCAAAUAUAUUAGAGAUCAUUCACAAGUAUGCUGAACCCGGGACCAGUCUAAAGACCUACAGUGUUCACAAAGUGCAUGGCUUUUGGGAAAAUGUCUCAAGAGAUUUGGGAGUGCCUAAUACAUGUCUUAAUAGGAAAAAAAUUCUCAAGGCAGUCCUGCAGUAUUAAAAGGUAAGCAAUGUUUUUUCAUAAAGUAUUUAUAUUUAGUCCAUUUAAAAAAAAAAAAAGUUUUAAAAAAAGAACAGAUAUUUCUUUGGUAGAACUUCCUGUAAUAAAAAUUAUUAUGCAAAAAUCAAAUAUUUUUACAGACCACAUCAGGGGUAGAGGGUCCCUUGCUACAGACUGAUUUUCCUACUGCAGAGACAACACUUGGAGAUGAUGUUCCUUCUAUUAAUGAGGAAGACAUUGUUGUUGCGCCAAAGUCUCCACAAUCUGUAGGAAAUGUACCUUUACCUUCAAGAAAAGAGAAUGCACUUCAAAAAACUGCAGAGAGCGGCAUCCAUACCCCAGACACACAAUCCCUCGAGAGUGACUCUAAAUCUUCAUCUUCAAAUGCAAAUGCUAAGAGGAAUGAAUCAGAUGAAUCAGCUAAGAUCAACACAGACAGUAGCAGUUCAGAAGAAAGAUUUUUCACAUCUGGUUUGCCACAGCAGAAAGCUUUCUUUUUCAUAAAUGAGAAUGAAUGGAAGGAGUUACGGCAACAU